rnacentral:tRNA from 1 species
GAAGUAAAUUAUUAAAACUGAACUUCUAAUUCAGUUAAUAGUGGUGUAAUUCCAUUAAUACUUCU